AGGAUAAACGCUGGCGGCGUGCCUAACACAUGCAAGUCGAACGUCUCUUCUUUCGGGAAGAGGAGUGGCGGACGGGUGAGGAACACGUGGGAACCUGCCCUACAGUGAGGAAUACCGGCGAGAAAUCGCCGACAAGACCGCAUAGCCCUCUCUGGUGAGAGCCAGAGAAGGAAAGCUUCGCAAGAGGCGCUGGAGGAGGGGCCUGCGUCCGAUUAGCUAGUUGGUGGGGUAAGAGCCUACCAAGGCGUCGAUCGGUAGCUGGUCUGAGAGGACGAUCAGCCACACUGGGAUUGAGAACGGCCCAGACUCCUACGGGGGGCAGCAGUGAGGAAUUUUCCGCAAUGGGGGCAACCCUGACGGAGCAACGCCGC
rnacentral:rRNA from 1 species